rnacentral:rRNA from 2 species
UAAUACAUGCAAGUCGAACGCGUUGGCCCAAUUGAUUGAUGGUGCUUGCACCUGAUUGAUUUUGGUCGCCAACGAGUGGCGGACGGGUGAGUAACACGUAGGUAACCUGCCCAGAAGCGGGGGACAACAUUUGGAAACAGAUGCUAAUACCGCAUAACAACGUUGUUCGCAUGAACAACGCUUAAAAGAUGGCUUCUCGCUAUCACUUCUGGAUGGACCUGCGGUGCAUUAGCUUGUUGGUGGGGUAAUGGCCUACCAAGGCGAUGAUGCAUAGCCGAGUUGAGAGACUGAUCGGCCACAAUGGGACUGAGACACGGCCCAUACUCCUACGGGAGGCAGCAGUAGGGAAUCUUCCACAAUGGGCGCAAGCCUGAUGGAGCAACACCGCGUGAGUGAAGAAGGGUUUCGGCUCGUAAAGCUCUGUUGUUAAAGAAGAACACGUAUGAGAGUAACUGUUCAUACGUUGACGGUAUUUAACCAGAAAGUCACGGCUAACUACGUGCCAGCAGCCGCGGUAAUACGUAGGUGGCAAGCGUUAUCCGGAUUUAUUGGGCGUAAAGAGAGUGCAGGCGGUUUUCUAAGUCUGAUGUGAAAGCCUUCGGCUUAACCGGAGAAGUGCAUCGGAAACUGGAUAACUUGAGUGCAGAAGAGGGUAGUGGAACUCCAUGUGUAGCGGUGGAAUGCGUAGAUAUAUGGAAGAACACCAGUGGCGAAGGCGGCUACCUGGUCUGCAACUGACGCUGAGACUCGAAAGCAUGGGUAGCGAACAGGAUUAGAUACCCUGGUAGUCCAUGCCGUAAACGAUGAGUGCUAGGUGUUGGAGGGUUUCCGCCCUUCAGUGCCGGAGCUAACGCAUUAAGCACUCCGCCUGGGGAGUACGACCGCAAGGUGAAACUCAAAGGAAUUGA